rnacentral:tRNA from 1 species
GGAAGUAUGUCUCAGUGGGAGAGGGCCUGCCUGGCAAGUGAGAGGCCCUGAGUUCAAAUCCUAGUACUACCA